rnacentral:misc_RNA from 1 species
AACGCACAUUGCGCCCCUUGGUAUUCCGAGGGGCAUGCCUGUUCGAGCGUCAUUAUGACCAAUCCCGUCAGGGGUCUUGGGGUUCGCUACUUCGGCGUCCCUUAAAAUCAGUGGCUGUAUCAUCGAGCUCUAAGCGUAGUAAUUCUUCUCGCUAUAGGGUCCCGGUAGAUGCUUGCCAUUAACCUCAACUUUCUCAGGUUGACCUCGGAUCAGGUAGGGAUACCCGCUGAACUUAA